rnacentral:lncRNA from 1 species
AAGGCGGGAGCAAUUAUUAAAUAUAGUUUAAUGAAAGUCUACAAAAUAUAUAGUUUACUGAAAAUAACAUAUCACUAUAAUGAUAGCAAAUUAGCAAUUAUGCGGAUGACAGUUCUUUUAGAGCAAUGGGGCUCCAAAAAUGUGGCUAGCACACAAAUAGAUAUGCACACGAAAAAGGGCUGAUUAAUAUGUAUACGUGAACGUGUAUAAUGGGAAAUGGAAUGCGAGAGAGGAGAAGAAUUGAUGAAGAAGAUGAAGUAGGAGUAGUGGUAAUGUGGAAUUUGAGAAGAAAUGAACAGAAGAAUAGACCCACCGCCCACCCAACCCAACUGCACUCUCUCUCUUCUCUCUCUGUUUUUCUUUUUAAAUUUCUUUCUGUACUUCAAAGUUGACGAAGAAAUAAACAAAUUACAGCGCCAUUAUUAAACCGUACUUCCUCAGCUAAAACGUCGGUGCGCUGUCUAAUUGGAGUUUCUUUUUCUUACCGAAGUGGAAAAAGGAUUUAAACUUGUGUUUUUUGUUUGCCGAGGAAAUGGCUCUGCUUGUCUUCUGCUACGCUUCGCCGAGUAUAAUUCCUACGCGGAAUAAAAUUAGGGGCAUAACUUUUUUU